GAUGAACGCUGGCGGCGGGCCUAAUACAUGCAAGUCGAACGACCAGACGAGGAGCUUUCUCCUAUGAAGUUAGCGGCGGACGGGUGAGUAACACGUGGAUAACCUACCCAUAAGACGGAGAUAACUUCGGGAAACGGAUGCUAACACCGGAAAAUAAUUAGAACCGCAUGGUUCAAGGGUAAAAGGCGGUUGUGCUGUCACUUACAGGUGGAUCCGCGGCGCAUUAGCUAGGUGGUAGGGUAACGGCUUACGGAGGCAAAGAUGCGUAGACGGCCUGAGAGGGUGAGCGAGCACACUGGCACUGAGACAGGGACCAGACGCCGACGGGAGGCAGCAGCAGGGAAUCUUCCGAAAUGGGCGAAGUCGUGACGGAGCAACGCCGCGUGAGUGAUGAAGGUGCUCGGAUCGUAAAACUCUGUUUGUAUGGAAGAACAAAUGUGAUAGUAACGAUCCACGUAUUGACGGUACCUAAGCAGAAAGCCACGGCUAACUACGUG
rnacentral:rRNA from 1 species